UUCUGUCGUAUUUUGAAGUCAGCAUAGAUGUAUCCUUCACUGCCUUUGAUAUCCCACAAUCAUGUGCGUUCCAUUCCUUGACAGUUGAGCUAAAAAA